UUCGCAAUGCCCGAAAGGGUGACGAAGCGACGCCGCGUGCGGGAAGAAGGCCUUCGGGUUGUAAACCGCUGUCGGGAGUUAAGAAAUGCAAGGGUGUUAAUAGUAUCCCCGCUUGACUAAGGCUCCGGAGGAAGCCACGGCUAACUCUGUGCCAGCAGCCGCGGUAAUACAGAGGCGGCAAGCGUUGUUCGGAAUUAUUGGGCGUAAAGAGCACGUAGGCGGCUGUGUAAGUCGGUUGUGAAAGCCUUCCGCUCAACGGGAGAACGGCAUCCGAUACUGCAUGGCUUGAGUGCGGGAGGGGAGAGUGGAACUUCUGGUGGAGCGGUGAAAUGCGUAGAUAUCAGAAGGAACACCGGCGGCGAAGGCGACUCUCUGGCCCGUAACUGGCGCUGAGUGUGCGAAAGCUAGGGGAGCAAACGGGAUUAGAUACCCCGGUAGUCCUAGCCGUAAACGAUGGGCACUAAGUAGAGGGGUUUU
rnacentral:rRNA from 1 species